rnacentral:rRNA from 1 species
UACGUAGGGGGCAAGCGUUGUCCGGAAUCAUUGGGCGUAAAGCGCGCGUAGGCGGCCCGGUAAGUCCGCUGUGAAAGUCAAAGGCUCAACCUUUGAAUGCCGGUGGAUACUGCCGGGCUAGAGUCCGGAAGAGGCGAGUGGAAUUCCUGGUGUAGCGGUGGAAUGCGCAGAUAUCAGGAGGAACACCAAUAGCGAAGGCAGCUCGCUGGGACGGUACUGACGCUGAGGCGCGAAAGCGUGGGGAGCGAACAGG